UGGAAAUGGAAAUGGGGAAUGUGUCAAAGAGACAACAACCCGACCAAAUAAAAAACAACAGCAGAGGGUCACCAACAGGUCUUCAAUGUAGCGAGAAAUUCCCGCACCCGGAGGCGUCCUUCAGCUGGCCCCUAAACAAAUAUAUACUAGUCCAGUGAUAAUGAACGCCAUACUAAUUUCCAAAUUGUACACAAGAAACUAAAAUUAAAAUAAUACAAGACUAACAAAGGCCAGAGGCUCCUGACUUGGGACAGGCUCAAAAAUGCGGCGGGGUUAAACAUGUUUGUGAGAUCUCAACCCUCCCCCUAUACCUCUAACCAAUGUAGUAAAGUAAACGCAUAACAAUACGCAC
rnacentral:lncRNA from 1 species